rnacentral:rRNA from 1 species
UACGUAGGGGGCUAGCGUUGUCCGGAAUCAUUGGGCGUAAAGCGCGCGUAGGCGGCCCGGUAAGUCCGCUGUGAAAGUCAAAGGCUCAACCUUUGAAUGUCAGCGGAUACUGCCGGGCUAGAGUCCGGAAGAGGCGAGUGGAAUUCCUGGUGUAGCGGUGGAAUGCGCAGAUAUCAGGAGGAACACCAACGGCGAAGGCAGCUCGCUGGGACGGUACUGGCGCUGAGACGCGAAAGCGUGGGGAGCAAACAGG